rnacentral:rRNA from 1 species
UACGUAGGGUGCGAGCGUUAAUCGGAAUUACUGGGCGUAAAGCGUGCGCAGGCGGUUCGUUAAGUCAGAUGUGAAAGCCCCGGGCUCAACCUGGGAACUGCAUUUGAAACUGGCGGGCUUGAGUGUGGCAGAGGGGGGUGGAAUUCCGCGUGUAGCAGUGAAAUGCGUAGAGAUGCGGAGGAACACCGAUGGCGAAGGCAGCCCCCUGGGUCGACACUGACGCUCAGGCACGAAAGCGUGGGGAGCAAACAGG